rnacentral:rRNA from 1 species
GACGAACGCUGGCGGCGUGCUUAACACAUGCAAGUCGAACGGAAAGGCCCUGCUUUUGUGGGGUGCUCGAGUGGCGAACGGGUGAGUAACACGUGAGUAACCUGCCCUUGACUUUGGGAUAACUUCAGGAAACUGGGGCUAAUACCGGAUAGGAGCUCCUGCUGCAUGGUGGGGGUUGGAAAGUUUCGGCGGUUGGGGCUGGACUCGCGGCUUAUCAGCUUGUUGGUGGGGUAGUGGCUUACCAAGGCUUUGACGGGUAGCCGGCCUGGGAGGGUGACCGGCCACAUUGGGACUGAGAGACGGCCCAGACGCGUACGGGAGGCAGCAGUGGGGAAUAUUGCACAAUGAGCGGAAGCCUGAUGCAGCAACGCCGCGUGCGGGAUGACGGCCUUCGGGUUGUAAACCGCUUUCGCCUGUGACGAAGCGUGAGUGACGGUAAUGGGUAAAGAAGCACCGGCUAACUACGUG